UUGACCUCGGAUCAGGUAGGGAUACCCGCUGAACUUAAGCAUAUCAAUAAGCGGAGGAAAAGAAACCAACAGGGAUUGCCUCAGUAACGGCGAGUGAAGCGGCAACAGCUCAAAUUUGAAAUCUGGCCUUCGGGUCCGAGUUGUAAUUUGUAGAGGAUGUUUUGGGUACCGCCGCAGUUUAAAUUUCUUGGAACAGAAUGUCAGAGAGGGUGAGAAUCCCGUCUGGAACUGCGGUAGGGCCUAUGUAAAACUCCUUCGACGAGUCGAGUUGUUUGGGAAUGCAGCUCAAAAUGGGUGGUAAAUUUCACCUAAAGCUAAAUAUUGGCCAGAGACCGAUAGCGCACAAGUAGAGUGAUCGAAAGAUGAAAAGCACUUUGAAAAGAGAGUUAAACAGUAUGUGAAAUUGUUGAAAGGGAAGCGCUUGCAACCAGACUUGUGUGUGGCGGUUCCCCCUUGCUUCUGCUUGGGCUACUCCGUCAUAUCCAGGCCAACAUCGGUUCUAGGGGCUGGUUAAAGGCCUUGGGAAUGUAUCUACCCCCGGGUAGACUUAUAGCCCAGGGUGUCAUGCGGCCACCCGGGACCGAGGAACGCGCUUCGGCGAGGAUGUUGGCGUAAUGGUUGUCAGCGACCCGUCUUGAAACACGGACCAAGGAGUCUAACAUCUAUGCGAGUGUUUGGGUGUCAAACCCGUACGCGAAAUGAAAGUGAACGGAGGUAGGAAGCCUUUAGGCUGCACUAUCGACCGAUCCUGAUAUUUAUGGAUGGAUUUGAGUAAGAGCAUAGCUGUUGGGACCCGAAAGAUGGUGAACUAUGCCUGAAUAGGGUGAAGCCAGAGGAAACUCUGGUGGAGGCUCGCAGCGGUUCUGACGUGCAAAUCGAUCGUCAAAUUUGGGUAUAGGGGCG
rnacentral:rRNA from 3 species